rnacentral:SRP_RNA from 1 species
GCUGGGUGUGGAGGCGUGUGCCUGUAGUCCAAGCUACUUGGGAGGCUGAGGCAGGAGAAUUGCUUGAACCCAGGAGGUGGAGGUUGCAGUGAGCCGAGAUCGCGCCACUGCACUCCAGCCUGGGUGACAGAGCGAGACUCUGUCUCUA